rnacentral:rRNA from 1 species
AGUGAACGCUGGCGGUAUGCCUAACACAUGCAAGUCGAACGGCAGCACAGUUAGAGCUUGCUCUUACGGGUGGCGAGUGGCGGACGGGUGAGGAAUACAUCGGAAUCUACUUUUUCGUGGGGGAUAACGUAGGGAAACUUACGCUAAUACCGCAUACGACCUACGGGUGAAAGCAGGAGAUCUUCGGACCUUGCGUGAUUGAAUGAGCCGAUGUCGGAUUAGCUAGUUGGCGGGGUAAAGGCCCACCAAGGCGACGAUCCGUAGCUGGUCUGAGAGGAUGAUCAGCCACACUGGAACUGAGACACGGUCCAGACUCCUACGGGAGGCAGCAGUGGGGAAUAUUGGACAAUGGGCGCAAGCCUGAUCCAGCCAUACCGCGUGGGUGAAGAAGGCCUUCGGGUUGUAAAGCCGUUUUGUUGGGAAAGAAAAGCAGCAGGUUAAUACCACGCUGUUCUGACGGUACCCGAAGAAUAAGCACCGGCUAACUUCGUG